rnacentral:rRNA from 1 species
CCUACGGGGGGCUGCAGUCGAGAAUUUUUCACAAUGGGGGAAACCCUGAUGGAGCGACGCCGCGUGGGGGAUGAAUGGCUUCGGCCCGUAAACCCCUGUCAUUUGCGAGCAAAGCGCAUUAUUUAAAAGAUGAUGUGUUGAUAGUAGCGGAAGAGGAAGGGACGGCUAACUCUGUGCCAGCAGCCGCGGUAAUACAGAGGUCCCGAGCGUUGUUCGGAUUCACUGGGCGUAAAGGGUGCGUAGGUGGUGAGGUGUGUCGGAUGUGAAAUCUCGGAGCUCAACUCCGAAACUGCAUUGGAAACUACCUUGCUGGAGGGUUGGAGGGGGGACUGGAAUACUUGGUGUAGCAGUGAAAUGCGUAGAUAUCAAGUGGAACACCAGUGGCGAAGGCGAGUCCCUGGACAACUCCUGACACUGAGGCACGAAAGCUAGGGGAGCAAACAGGAUUAGAUACCCUUGUAGUC